AAGGCCAAGUAAAGAGAGGAAUAAAGAAGGAUGGUUGACAGAACUUGUGUGGUGCCCCAAUGGUUCAACAGAUUAGGUAAAGUAAUUAGAUUCAUUGUGAAGAUGUGUGCACUGGGCUGGAACAUUUCCAGAGAAAGCUGGACUAGCCAUGCAUCAGGUAAUUAUUUACUAUUACUGAAUGUUAUUAAGGUAUUAUCUUACACCUAUCUUUUCCUCAACUGAUCUUAGGUACCCAUUAGAGUUGGGUUGACUUGGAAUUAUCAUAAAUAUCCU